rnacentral:lncRNA from 1 species
UUUAUCCCAAAAAAGCUGCUAGAGCUACUUCCAAAACAUCAAAUGGCUUCUCCAGUAUGGCUAACUCCUCUUCUGCUUAUGAUUCCUGUAUUAUUCUACCUUUUGAAAAAUAAAAUUCAAGCUCAGCGAUCACAGAGAAAGCAGCAACCUCCAGGGCCUCCAGGCAUUCCAAUCAUAGGCAACUUGCAUCAACUUGGCGAAUUGCGGCAUCGCACUUUGUGGCAAUUCUCCAAGAAAUAUGGCCCUGUGAUGCUUCUCCAUCUCGGUCGCGUACCAACAGUUAUCGUCUCCUCUGCAGAUGCAGCUAAGGAGGUCUUGAACACCCAUGAUCUCAAUUGUUGCAGUAGACCUCUCUUGGCUGGUACUGGGAAGCUAUCCUAUAACUAUCUUGACGUAGCUUUUACUCCCUAUGGAGAUUACUGGAGAGAUAUGAGAAAGAUUUGUGUUCUUGAGCUCUUCAGUGCCAAGAGAGUCCAGUCGUUUCAGUUUGUUAGGGAAGAAGAGACUGAUUUGCUCAUCAGUUCCAUCUCCAAGUUUUCUUCCUCUGCCACUCCUGUUGAUCUCAGUGAGAAGAUGAUGUCUCUCACUGCGAACAUAACUUGUAGAGCAGCAUUUGGGAAGAGUUUUCAAGAGAGAGGGUUCGGCCAUGAAAGAUUCCAAGAAGUUAUUCAUGAAGGCUUGGCUAUGCUUGGGAGCUUCUCUGCAGCUGAUUUCUUUCCUUAUGUGGGUUGGGUUGUUGAUAGACUCACAGGCCUCCACGCAAGGCUUGAAAACAUUUUUCAAGAAUUUGAUGUUUUCUACCAGAAAGUGAUAGAGGAUCACAUCCAAAAGCAAAGCAAAGAUCCUGGAAAGGAGGAUAUUAUCGAUGUGUUGCUUGGGAUGGAGAGACCUCAAACUGAAACUGCAAUUCAAUCGUCCAAAGAUCAUAUUAAAGCGAUUCUCAUGGUAACUUAACUGGGUUUUUUUCCCCUUAUUUUUCUUUAUUGAUUAAUUCAUUUGAUACGAAAAUUAAUCCUAUUGAUUUCCAGAACUUAUUCCUGGCCGGAGUCGAUACCGGAGCAAUAACCAUGGUGUGGGCCAUGGCAGAGCUUGCUAGGCACCCUAGAGUAAUGAAAAAAGCACAAGAAGAAAUCAGAAGUUGCAUCGGAAAUAAAACAAGAGUCUCUGAAAGUGACAUUGACAAGCUUGGAUACUUAAAGAUGAUAGUGAAGGAAACAAUGAGACUGCACCCACCAGGUCCACUGCUAGUUCCAAGAGAAGCCAUGUCAAGCUUCAGCAUAAAUGGGUAUGAGAUAGAGCCCAAGACUCGAAUCCAAGUGAAUGUAUGGGCAAUAGGAAGGGAUCCCAAGAUAUGGAGAAACCCAGAAGAGUUUUUUCCAGAGAGGUUUAUAGACAAUCCCAUUGAUUUUAAAGGGCAGAAUUAUGAAUUGCUACCAUUUGGUGGUGGAAGGAGAGGCUGUCCUGGAAUCUCCAUGGGACUAGCUACUGUGGAGCUUGCACUUGCAAAUCUUCUGUUUUGUUUUGAUUGGAAGUUGCCUUUUAAUUUGAAGGAGGAAGAGCUUAACAUGGAAGAGGCGUCUGGUAUUACUACUUAUAAGAAAGCAGCUCUACUCCUAGUGCCUAUUCAAUAUCAAUCUGCAUGAUAAUAAUAGAGAGAGAGCGAGAAAAAUUAUAUGAUCUUACGCUGCUUUGCUUAAUUUAUAUUGAUAACAUUUGCUUUGAAUAAAAGUAAGAAAUAAUUCAUUUAAUUUUGAGGAUGAAUUUUACAAACUUUGUUUAUUGAAUAAAUUGAUAUGAAAAAAACUGAUUUUGGCUUUUAAAAAUAUAGAUUGUUUGUUCAUAUAAACCUUUAAACUUUUCUGUCUAAAUAAAAUUUUGAAUUAUUAAAAUGAAUAAGGAUGGACGCAGCAUUGAAAAGUAGGGCCAAAGAUAUAUAUAUAUAUAUAUAUAACAAAAUAAAAGUAAUUUUUUUUAAACUGUAAUUAAUAAUCAUUAAAAAAUAAUUCUUAAAACAAAAUUCAUUGCACUUUUAUUAUGUUAUGAAAAUAAUCUAUAAGUAAAUUUAUUGUAAAUGUUUCUGUAAUUUAUAUUUUUUAUUUGACUUAUUUAUUAAGUUUUGUUGAUAUUUUAAUAUAUAAAUAAAUUGAAUUUAUCUUAUUUUUAAUUAUGGACUACAAGUUACUUGAUUGAUUGCACUUUUGAUGCUCUAAUUUAAGGCUCAAUUUGAAGAAUCAAAUUUAUAUCACAGUAAAAAUUCUCUGUUUACUAUGGUGUUAUGGCCUUGUAUAGUAUUAUUUUAAAUAAUAUAUUAAAUUAUUUAAAUAUCCUUAUUUAUUUAUUUAUGCAAUUUAAUUACUACAAUUUAUUUUCAUUCAUAAAUAGUUAUCUGAUAUGAUUGAAAUAGAGUUAAACUGUGAUUAUCAAUCUGCAAGAGAAAAAAGAUAAGAUAGUUGGCGCUUACGGCAGUCACUCUGACACUUAAAUCAGUAAACUGAAGAAUAAGACAGGUGUAAAGAAUAGUUUAGAAUUCAAGAAUAGUUAUAUAAGAAUUGCAUAUUUUGGUUUCUGUGAUCAUUAGUUUUUAUACUGUAAGAAUAUGAAGUUAAUUAUAACAUUUUCUAAAAAUUCGAUGGGUGCUAGCUAAUUGAUAAGGGAUCUCAUCGGUUGAUUGACUGGGAUUUCCGUAAUCACCGGCGUAAUGGAGAUUUGCUGGAUUGUGCCUGCUAACGGUAACUUUAUGUGAAGGCUCGACCUUUCUUGAAUAGGGCGAGUCUUGAUGAAAAAUCGAGAGUUACGGUGUCUGGAUCUUCCUUUCCACGGGUAGAACUACGUAUCGGUAUCGGUUUAUCGGACUCUUGCCACGUGAUCCGUCUUAGGGUGAUAGCUUAUAACUUAUUUUGGGCUAUUGUUGUGUUAAAUCAAAAGUUUCCCUGUUGGUCUUCGAUUUUUCAAAUCGAAGGUUACAUUUGUCUUCACGAUCUUGGGUACGUGGCAUUUUUGGAUUGACUCUUCAUGCUUGCGUUGCUUUGUCUAGUCAUAAAUGAUGAUUACCUUAAUUUUCACCAAGUAUAUUAGGAUCAGUACUUGACCAUAGAUGAAACUCUUCAUCUAGUAUUAUCACUGAUUAAUGGUCAAAUUAAAUAUAAAAUACUUGGCCAAUUUUCUUUAUUUGGAUUAAUACCCGGUCAUGUGCCUGGAGGAUACUCGCCUUCUGGCCUUAAAACUUUUAUUUAUUGAAACUAAUUUUUAAUCAUGUGCUUGGCGGAUUUCUGCCUUGUGACUCGCCUGGCGGAUACUCAUCUUGUGGCCUUAAAACUUUUGUUUAUCGGGAAUAACACCCAAUCAUGUACCUGGAAGAUUCUCGCCUUGUGGCUCGCUUGGCAUAUACUCAACCUUAUGGCCUUGAAACUUUAUUUAUCGGGAUUAACACCCAGUCAUGUGCCUGGCGGAUUUCCGCCUUGUGGCUCGCCUAGCGGAUACCUGCCUUAUAGCUUUGAAACUUUUAUUUAUCAGGACUAACACCAGGAUAUGUGCCUGGUGGAUUCUCACCUUAUAGCUCGCUUGGCUGAUUCUCACCUUGUGGCGUUGGCAUAAAAUGCUUUGUUGAUCGGGACUAACACCUGAAUAUGCACCUGGCAGAUUCUCGCCUGGCGGAUUUUUGUCUUAUGGCGUUGGCAUAAAAUGCCUUAAUUGAUCGGGACUAACACCUGGAUAUGUGCCUGGAGGAUUCUCGCCUUGUGGUUGCCUAGUGAAUUUCCGCCUUGUAGCGUUGGCAUAAAAUGCUUUGUUGAUCGAGACUAAAACCUGGAUAUGUGCCUGGUGGAUUCCCGCCUUAUGGCUCGCUUGGAGAAUUCUCGCCUUGUGGCAUUGGCAUAAGAUGCCUCGGGACUAAUUCCCGAAUAUGCAACUGGUAGAUUCCCGCCUUGUGGCUCAUCUGGCGGAUUCUUACAUUGUAGUAUUGGCAUAAAAUGCCUUAGUUGAUCGGGACUAACACCCGGAUAUGUGCCUUGCAGAUUUCUACCUUGUGGCUCGCCUAGUAGAUUCCCACCUUAUGGCGUUUAUUCUUUAUCUCCGCGCUCUUGUCUAUCCAAUGUUAAAAAAGACUCAAGAAUGCAUCAUAGUUUUAUUAUAAAUUACAAAAAUACUUUCAAGAACAUUUAAAAUAUUCGGUCUUCUAACUUAACCAAUUGCAAAACUUGGAGUUUUGAUUUAGGAAUUAAAUAUAUGUGACAUUCUGCUUCUAUAGACCCUUAUUGCUACUCGGUCCUCCUGCAAUCACGUGAAUAACCCCUAUAGGUUCAUUUUAUCGAGAUGGACUAGUGUUCUUACCUCAAGUCCUAAGCUCUUUUCUUAUGUCUUUUAUAGCAAACUUUCAAAGUGUAUCGUCCCUUAUUAAUCUCUCGAUCCCGUCUUUCAGCUGUCGGCACUCCUAUGUUAUAUAUCUGUGAUCUUUGUGAAAGAGGCAGUACUUGGUCUUAUCUCGCCUUUCUACUCUCUCGGGAUGGAGCUUGGGAGGCCACCUGACCUCCUUAUCAUUUUUUCUGAUCCACAUUAGAAUACGUAUUCAUGAGUCAUGCAAUGGAGUAUAAUUCUUAUACUUACUUUGCUCAUCCCUCCUUCGAGAGACGAUAUAACUUCUGUGGUCUCCUUCAUAUCCUUAUCUCUAUGGCUUUUGGUUUUGUUUUUGGCUCGCCCUGUUGUCCUCUCUCAAUACUUGGACUUCAUCAUCCAGCCUGAUAUGCUUCUAGGUUUUGUCCAUCAAUUGUUGGUAUGUAGCAGCUGGAUUCUUGAUUAAGGAAUCCAUAAACUUGAUGUUGCGUAUUUCUUUCUUUGAUGCUUCACAUGCUAUCUCUUAAUUUAACUCAUCCACCUGCUUUUGCAUUAAACCGUGAGAUAAAACUCUUUAAAGACUCACCCUCUCCUUGGUGAAUCUUCCAUAAGUUAGAGGAGAGCUUUUUAGGAGGUAUACAAGUAAUAAACCUGAAUUUAAAUAACAUGGCAAACUACAUAAAGUUCUGAAUUAAAUUUGAGCUUAGAUGUUGGUACCAUUUCUGAGCCAAACCUGUGAAGGUUGACGGAAACACUUGACACAACACAAAAUCGUUGAUAUCCUGAAGCUGCAUGGUCGUCCUAAAGAUCGCUAGGUGACUUAUGUGAUCUGUUGUCCCGUCAUAUUUAUCCAAAUUUGAGAGUUUGAAUUUAGCGAGGAAUAUCUCUACCAAGAUCUCUUCUGAAAGAGGUGAGUCAUCAUCCAGGCCAAAGUUCUCUUCCCGCUUAGGGGUGAGCAGUAUUCGGUUCAAACCGAAAAAACCGAUCGAACCGAACCGAUUUGAAAAUUUGGUUCGAUUUUUUAUACAUUUCGGUUCGGUUCAGUUUUUAAUUUCAGAAAUUUCGGUUCGGUUCGGUUUUGAUCAGAAAAAAAACCGAAAAAACCGAACCGAACCGAUUAGUGAUAAUAAUAUAUUUUUUCAAUAAUAUAGAGAAAUUAAAUUAUAUUAAAAUUAAAAUAUUUUAAUUAAAUUUUAAAAUAUUAAAAAUAAAGUGUAAAAAAUAAAAAAAUUAUUAAAAAUCGAAACCGAUCAAACCGAACCGAAUAGAACCGAAUCAGACCAGUUCGGUUCAUUUCGGUUUCUGACCAAAAUCGGUUCGGUUCGGUUCGGUUUUCAUAAACACUAAAAUUUCAGUUUUUGGUUUAUUCGGUUCGGUUCGAUUUUGAACCGAACCGACCGAAUGCUCACCCCUAUUCCUGCUCUUUCUGGUACCUUUAAACAGCUCGUACCAACUUCCAAUCAACGUCCUUCGGGGUAUCGUCUAAUGACUUUUCUUCCUCGAACUCGACCUUCCCUUUAGAUCGUGUUUGGAUCGUCUCUGUCUGAGUUCUUGGGGUAUCAACAGAGACUUUCUCCCUUUCUUCCCCUGAGAGUCAUGAAUGACGCCUCCCUCUGAAUUUUAUAUUGCAAUAGAGUAGCAUGCAACAUUUUGAUGUAUUGGAACAUCUACUCAUUGUUCAGAUUGUUGAGAUCAGCUUUAUUGACUAUAGAGGGCAUGUUUUAUCCACUGCCAAGAGCAGAAGAAAUAAUAAUGCCCUCAUUGGUAGCAACCUUAACAGCAGCUUGUGAGUUGCAGGUCAUUUCGAGAGAGAGAAAAAAAAAAAGAUUUCUUUUUAAGAGAACAAGAAUAAGAUACCAGUUUUAAUCUAAAUAAACAUAGAGAAUUCAAUAGAUUUCCUGACAAUGGAAUUAAAUGAUAUGGUCGGAAUAGAACUGUAUUAUGAUUGAUCAAUCUGCAAGAGAGAUAAGUGAGAUGAUUGGCACCUACGGCAGCCACUCUGACGUUCAAGUCAGUAAACUGAAGAAUAAGACGAGUGUAAGAAAUUGCUUAGAAUUCAAGAAUAAUUGUGUAAGAAUUGUGUAUUUUGGUCUAUGUGAUCAUUAACUUUUAUACUAUAGGAAGAUGAAGUUAAUCACAAUAUUUUCUAAAAAUCUUGUGGGUGCUGGCUAAUUGAUAAAGGAUCCCAUUGCCUAACUGAUUGAAAAUCUUGUAAUCAUCGGUAUAAUAGAAAUCUAAUGGAUUAUGUCUACUAAUAAUAAUUUUAUGUGAAUAUUCAAUAUUUUCUGAAUAGGACGAGUCUUGAUACAAAUCGAAAAUUUCUUUCCAUAAGUAAAACCGUAUAUCGGUUUAUCAAACUCUUAUCACAUGAUUCCAUUUUAGAAUAACAACACAUCAUUUAUUUUAAGUGAUAGUUAUAUUAUAUCUAUGUUUAAAUUAUUUUAAAAAAUAAUAUUAAAUAUUUAAUAAUAACAUGACAUUUACAAAAUGAUAUUCCAACAUCAUAAUUAUCCUUCAUUAUAUCCAUCAUUAUCAUCCAAUCAAUCCAAUAAUUACUAUAUAUAAUAUAAUAAAUAUGGUGUCUAUGAAAGGAGUGUUAUCCUAAUAAAAAGCACAGGUACCUAUAUUUGAAAAUAACAACUACCAACAGAAUAUCACGUUCCAUCAACAUCAAGAAAUAAUUUUUUCCGAACUCUCAUGGGCCUUUAAGCAAUUUCCUCAACUUAUUAUCUCGGUGCGAUAAGAAUUUACAAGCUUUUAGGACCAUAGACUUCAAAUCCAAUUUGAACACCAACUCUCAAAUUUCACUAACAUUUGUGGUUAUAUUAGAUAGACUUGCAGUUGCCAUUUUAAGUUGAUAAGAUUCGAAUUUGGACUUUUCUUUGUGUUGAGAUUGCGACAGAAGAAUGGACCAUAUUUCAAGGCAGUCUCUUAUCUGGACUUUUCUCAACUUCAGUACGGUCCAAGACAGUCACCUGCACAAUUAAAUGUUUCAUGUCUAAAAUUAUUUAUAUCUUUAUUCCUUUAAUAUUAUAAUUAAAUAAAAAAAAAAUUUUUUCUCUUAACAUUCAAAAGAGAGAAUGAACAAUUAGAAUGAUGAAAAAACGGCAAAUGGCUUCUCCAAUAUGGCUAACUCCUCUUCUUCUUAUGAUUCCUGUAUUAUUCUACCUUUUGAAAAAUAAAAUUCAAGCUCAGCGAUCACAGAGAAAGCAGCAACCUCCAGGGCCUCCAGGCAUUCCAAUCAUUGGCAACUUGCAUCAACUUGGGGAAUUGCGUCAUCGCUCUUUGUGGCAAUUCUCCAAGAAAUAUGG